rnacentral:rRNA from 1 species
GAAUUUUGCACAAUGCCCGAAAGGGUGAUGCAGCAACGCCGCGUGAGGGAUGAAGGCCUUCGGGUCGUAAACCUCUUUCGACUGGGAAAAACGGCCUCGUGAAUAACGGGGUCUGAUGGUACCGGUGGAAGAAGCCCCGGCCAACUACGUGCCCGCAGCCGCGGUAAUACGUAGGGGGCGAGCGUUGUUCGGAAUUAUUGGGCGUAAAGGGCGUGUAGGCGGUGCGGUAAGUCGGGCGUGAAAUCUCCGGGCUUAACUCGGAGGGGUCGUUCGAAACUGCCGUGCUCGAGUGUGGGAGAGGGAAGUGGAAUUCCCGGCGUAGCGGUGAAAUGCGUAGAUAUCGGGAGGAACACCUGCGGCGAAGGCGGCUUCCUGGACCACAACUGACGCUGAAGCGCGAAAGCUAGGGGAGCAAACAGG